rnacentral:rRNA from 1 species
CAGCAGCCGCGGGAAAACGUAGGGUGCAAGCGUUAAUCGGAAUUACUGGGCGUAAAGCGUGCGCAGGCGGUUUGUUAAGACAGAUGUGAAAUCCCCGGGCUCAACCCAGAGGCUGCAUCGGAGACUGCGAGGCUGGAGAGUGGGAGAGGUGAGUGGAAUUUCCGGUGUAGCGGUGAAAUGCGUAGAUAUCGGGAGGAACAUCAGUGGCGAAGGCGGCCAUCUGGGACAACACGGGCGCUGAGGCACGAAAGCGUGGGGAGCAAACAGGAUUAGAUACCCCGGUAGUCCCUGUCUCUUAUAC